rnacentral:rRNA from 1 species
GACGAACGCUGGCGGCGUGCUUAACACAUGCAAGUCGAACGGAGCGAAUGAAAGCUUGCUUUUAUAAGCUUAGUGGCAAGCGGGUGAGUAACACGUAGGCAACCUGCCAAUAGGAUGGGGACAACAUUCCGAAAGGAAUGCUAAUACCGAAUGAAGUCAGAGGAGGGCAUCCUCUUCUGAUGAAAGAUGGCCUCUGAAUAUGCUAUCACCUAUUGAUGGGCCUGCGUCUGAUUAGCUGGUAGGUGAGGUAACGGCUCACCUAGGCGACGAUCAGUAGCCGGUCUGAGAGGAUGAACGGCCACAUUGGGACUGAGACACGGCCCAGACUCCUACGGGAGGCAGCAGUGGGGAAUCUUCCGCAAUGGGCGCAAGCCUGACGGAGCAACGCCGCGUGAGUGAAGAAGGUCUUCGGAUCGUAAAGCUCUGUUGAUGGGGACGAACGUGCCUAAUGCGAAUAGUUUUAGGUAAUGACG